rnacentral:rRNA from 1 species
UACAGAGGUCUCAAGCGUUUGUUCGGGAUUCAUUGGGCGUAAAGGGUGCGUAGGUGGCGCGGUAAGUCGGGUGUGAAAUCUCGGAGCUUAACUCCGAAAUUGCAUUCGAUACUGCCGGUGCUCGAGGACUGGAGAGGAGACUGGAAUUCAUGGUGUAGCAGUGAAAUGCGUAGAGAUCAUGAGGAAGACCAGUGGCGAAGGCGGGUCUCUGGACAGUUCCUGACACUGGAGGCAACGGAAGGCCAGGGGAGCAAACGGG